rnacentral:rRNA from 1 species
AGUGAACGCUGGCGGUAGGCCUAACACAUGCAAGUCGAACGGCAGCACAGUAAGAGCUUGCUCUUACGGGUGUCGAGUGGCGGACGGGUGAGGAAUACAUCGGAAUCUACUUUUUCGUGGGGGAUAACGUAGGGAAACUUACGCUAAUACCGCAUACGACCUACGGGUGAAAGCAGGGGAUCUUCGGACCUUGCGCGAUUGAAUGAGCCGAUGUCGGAUUAGCUAGUUGGCGGGGUAAAGGCGCACCAAGGCGACGAUCCGUAGCUGGUCUGAGGGGAUGGUCAGCCACACUGGAACUGAGACACGGUCCAGACUCCGACGGGAGGCAGCAGUGGGGAAUAUUGCACGAUGGGGGCAAGCCUGAUCCAGCCAUACCGCGUGGGUGAAGAAGGCCUUCGGGUUGUAAAGCCCUUUUGUUGGGAGAGAAGAGCAGCAGGUUAAUACCCCGCUGUUCUGACGGUACCCAAAGAAGAAGCACCGGCUAACUUCGUG